GAUGGAAGAAAUUAAUGAGAAGUAGGCACUCGAUAUGAUACUCACUGUGUGAGUUACCAUCCUAAGGGUCAGAAGAGUUGAGGCAAUCACUCUUCAAAGCAGGAGGCUGGCAUGUGACUUUUUGCUACCCCUGAUAAGAUCAGGGAGCCAUGUACUUCCCUGCAUCUCGGUAAGCCCAUGCAGGGCUUAGCCAGCGGCCUACUUUGUUCAAUGGUAUGUAGGCAGGAGUGACAGGGGGCCAGUCUUGUGUUUCUUCUCAAACCUUUGUACUUCUGCUGUCUACAGGUCUGUCCCUACUAGCCACAGGUCCGAGGAGAGUGAGAGCAUAUUGAGCGCCGCCCCCUGUGGCCCCAAACCCACUCAGGAGCCUGAAGCAGAACUUCCCCACAUGACCAGUAGACCCAGCAGCAGGAUAAAUAAAGAACCUCGAAGUCCUCCAUUGGAUCCCGUCCAGCCAGUGGGCAAGAGGAGGGACAGCAGAGAACGCAGAGGACUGCGUGGGAAGUUUUAAAGACCAGGUCUCAGUCUGUCCACAUUUUACUGCUCGGAACUCCGUCAUUGACCCCAUCUGCAAAGGCUUCUGGGAAAUGUGGUAUUCCUAUCUACCCAACCGAUGGAGAGUAAGAGGCAUAAAUCUCUCCCUCGUUGGACUCCGUGGCACCCCAGUCUCUGUUUUGCAUCAGACACUGCUCAGCCCCUGGGGGGCGACUCUCUGGAGUUUGGGACCCACCCCUCCCAUGCCACCACCCCCAGAAAGGAGCUGACUGCAGAAAGAUUCACUCCCUAGCAACGUUUACUGUGCCUUGGGUGCAUGGUACCAAGGGCCCCAUCACCCUCGGUGUUCAAGGGGACUCAUCCUGGAGGAGCAAAGCCCACGGUGGCCUGAUGCUGCCCUUGUGACAUUUGUCCCUCUGCAGGUUCAAGCCUUCAAAGCACAGGGAAGCUGAGCGGCCCCUCUGAGGUCACACAGUCCACUGGAGGCCAAGGUGGGUGGAGAGCC